AUGCUUCAUUUGCCUCUGCUCCACAAGUUGAACCUUAAAUUUAGUGCAUGGACAAUGAGCAAGGUCAGUGUUAGGCACCAUGCAAUCGUAUUGUCAGAGUCGAAGAUAUUGAAGUUUUGCCCAGAAGAUGUGCACAAAGUUUUUGGCAUCCCGUGUGGACAUCGUAAUGUGAGAGGACGUGAUGGUUUCAUACUGCCGGAGGCCGUUCAAUUUAUAAAAGGCACACUCGGGAUGGACAAGACAGGUGUUCAUAGUCUCAAGGCUGCAGAGGAGUUCCUGUUGCGAGACAUAUCCGAGUCUUCCAGUAAGCUUGAAAAGGAUUACUUUCAGAUUGCAUUUGUCAUUUUUGUAAUGGGUCAUGUGUUGGCGCCAACAACCAAACACGAUUAUGCUACAAUUGACUAUUGGGGUGCACUUGCCAACACGGAGGCCAUAUCCCAAUUCAACUGGUGUGAGUAUGUGCUUGAGUCUCUCUUGGAGGCAGUCCGUCGGGUCAAGAACAACAUGCUAGCAGGCAACCUCAAUACUAAUCUGGUUGGUUGUCAUCUGUGGCUGCAGGUAUUCUUCCUUGACAAUAUCAAUUUAGGUAUGUUCAACAAAAGGCAUGAUGUCCUCCCCAGGAUAGGCGCGUAUGACCAGGCAAGCAUGAGGAAGAUUGGUACAAGUGUCCUGUCGUGCUACAACUGCACGGUAAUGUCAACACUCCAACGAGUCUGUUGUUCCAUGGUUUCUUUUCAAAUCGUCUGUUGUAAUGUCUGUUUCGGUUUGGCAAAGUACAAUUCCGGUGAGACGAAGAUGUAUGCUAUGUCCGCUCCAAGCACACAGAAUGCAAUGAAGAUAGUACUAACCAACCAUCAGCUGGUGGUAAAGGAAGCCCGAGCCCUGGGGAUGACACAAAAGCAAUGCCAGGAGCAAUUCAUGGAUUUGCAACAUCGGCAACCCCUUUAG
rnacentral:rRNA from 1 species